GACGAACGCUGGCGGCGUGCUUAACACAUGCAAGUCGAACGGAAAGGCCCUGCUUUUGUGGGGUGCUCGAGUGGCGAACGGGUGAGUAACACGUGAGUAACCUGCCCUUGACUUUGGGAUAACUUCAGGAAACUGGGGCUAAUACCGGAUAGGAGCUCCUGCUGCAUGGUGGGGGGUGGAAAGUUUCGGCGGUUGGGGAUGGACUCGCGGCUUAUCAGCUUGUUGGUGGGGUAGUGGCUUACCAAGGCUUUGACGGGUAGCCGGCCUGAGAGGGUGACCGGCCACAUUGGGACUGAGAUACGGCCCAGACUCCUACGGGAGGCAGCAGUGGGGAAUAUUGCACAAUGGGUGGAAGCCUGAUGCAGCAACGCCGCGUGCGGGAUGACGGCCUUCGGGUUGUAAACCGCUUUCGCCUGUGACGAAGCGUGAGUGACGGUAAUGGGUAAAGAAGCACCGGCUAACUACGUG
rnacentral:rRNA from 1 species